rnacentral:rRNA from 1 species
CCAGUGGAAGUCUAGGGAGACCCUGAAAGGCCGUCCCACCCGUACGGAAAGGACGACGGCUUAGGGUAAAACUGGUAACUGGGGCU